rnacentral:tRNA from 1 species
CAGAGAAUAGUUUAACAGAACACUAGCUUUGGGGGCUAGAGGUAAGCGCUGACGUCGCUUUUUUCUGA